UCUCUCUCCUAUUUUUCUUCUCUUUAAUUUUACAACACGUUAUCAGCAACAAAGCUCUAGAUAAUUAAUAACUCUUUUGAUUCCUAUACAUAUACAUAUUUACUAACUUCCCUCAAUCCGCCGUCUCUCUCCAAUAUCACUCUCUCUCUUCCCCGCUCGAUCUGGUUAUCACUCUCUGAUUUUUACUCUAUACAUUCCAUCAUCUUAUCACGCAGUUCAUCAUAUGCAAGAAAGUUAUUUGGGUUCAGCGAUAUAUUAUACUUCCGUCUUGAUUUUUGCUUGUCUCAUCAAUUGGGUGUAGUUUCAAGCAUAGCAAAUUAUUAGAUACGAUAAAACUUAAUCACCCCUACCUCGCUAAGGAGAUGAAUUUAAUAGCAACUUUACUGGUAUCACUAUAUUCUUUUCUCCAUAUUUUAUUGAAUUUAUCAGAUUAUUGUACUUCUUGAAAUAAAAUAAUUAUAGGUUAUUAGACUAUUUAUUUGAUUGAUUUAAUUUAUAUGCUCCGUUUUUUUUUUAUUGAAAUGAAAUACGAAGUUUAUUAAAUUUGGGAUA